GCCAUUGCCUGGCUGGGGUGACACACAGGGUUCCUCAUCAGGAUUCAGGUUCCUCAAAAUUCUGCAUCUAGAACAACUUCACAGCUGCUAGCUGAGAAGAUCCAGCCUCACAGACGACUCCAGCUAGGACUUCAAAUAAGCCCUGUGCUUUCCCAUCACACAGAGACGGGACGACAGAUGAUGCAACUGGCUCUCCCAGGACUUGACCGUUAUCCCAAUUUUCUAAAGAUGUGGUUGUCCCCGGAAACAGGAAGCAAUUUGAGAACAUGAUGCCCACAUUCCCAAGAGUGUGACGUGUCUGUUCCUGGCAGCAUCAAUCUACUUCAUAGAAGAUGAUAAGCACUGAAGAAACCCCAUAUGGAAUUUACUUUCAAUGUGGCCAAGAACAUUCUGUUGCUAGAACAAAACAAGUCACACUCACACCCUUGAGAGAGCAGAACUCUCCGAUCUAAAUCUAGGUAGGAUCUUUGUUUGAAGAGAAACACAAGAACCUUGAAGGACUAAACGUAAGUUCUAACCCCCGACCUUUAGUCAAGGUGGGAACAGGCUCAUAUUUUUGGGCCUCCACACAAAGAUGCUCCAAUGUAGCAGGGAAAACUUGGGUGACUGUCCAGGCAGCCAGCUGUCUCUGUCAUUCCUAUAGUUUUGGAAUUUUCUUGCUCUGUACUUCCUGUUUAUUCAGGUAAUAUUUUAUCCUUCUAGGGUCUCUGACGGGGUUGAAGACUAGAUGUGUAUACCAUUUUCUUUGUUACCAAAUUCAGAAAAGAAAUUUACAAAAUAGAUAUAAAGUUCAUAAGGUUGAGAGAUAUAAAAGCUUAAAUUGUUUAUUUAAGAAAAUGUUUUAAGGUUUAAAAAUAUAUUUUUAGAUUGUUAAUACAAGUUACAAUAGAAAGUGAUUUAGAUUAAAAAAAAAAAAAACUUUGGACUAGGCCAGGCAAUGGUGCUUGCCUUUAAUCCCAGCACUGGGGAGGCAGAGACAAGCGUAUCUCAGUGAGUUCAAGGUCAACCUGAUUUACAAAGCAAGUUCCAGGACAGUCAGGACUGUUACACAGAGAAACCUUAUCUCGACAAACCAAAAAAAUAAAAAUAAAAAUAAAUUGUACUCCCACAAUAGGACAGAUAACAGAGCACUUUCUCUGAAUUCUCCAAAUACAAAUAGACUGGAUCUUGUGACUAUAAUUCUUACCUGAUAAUUAUUUUUAUUGCAUAUAGUUUUACUGUGUUAGUGUUAAAACCUUUCCUUUUUAUUUAGACAAAAAGAGGAAAAUACUGUGGGAUAAUCUUUCUGUACAUUGUGAAGAUGUGUCUCUGCCAAGGCCCCUUCUAAUUGGUAUAAUAAGGAGCCAAAAGAUCAGUAGCUAGGCGGGAAAGGAUAGGUAAGACUUCCAGGGAGAGAGAGGAACUCUGGGAAGAGUCUGAGGUGCCGAGGAUUUGCCAGCAAGAUGCAGGGCAAGUCAGACGUGCAGUACAAGGAGAGGUAACAAGCCAGGUGGCAGAACGUAGAUUAAUAGAAAUGAGUUAAGUUAUAGGGGCUAGUUGGGAAGAAGCCCAAGCUAAGGCCAAGCUUUCAUGCUUAAUAAGAAGUCCGUGUGUCUUCUUAUUUAUUAAUUUGAGAAGUCACGGCACAAAGAAAGACCUGCUACACGUGAUGUUGACAGAGGAGAAUCCCAAGGCCCUUCAAGUUGGAAGCAUCUUGUUCUCUGCGAACAUUGUCUGAGGAAGUUUUACUUACAAGCAUGAGUAUAUACGGUCCGUGGUGUGUGUGUGUAAUGCACACACAUAUGUGUGGAUGCCCACGUGCCUAUGUGUGGGAGGCUAGAGAAGGAUGUUGCGUGUCCAGCUCUAUCACUAUAUGACUUAAUUCCCCUGAGACAGGGUCUCUCACUGAGCCUGGAGCUAGGGUGGCAACCAGCAAGACCCAGUGAUUCCCCUGCCUCUGCCCUUCACAGUGCUGGGUUAUAGUGUGUAGUCAUGCCCAGCUUUUUAAACCUGUGUGCUGGGAUCUGCACUCAAGCCCUCACACAUAUGUAGCAAGCACUGAGUGGUCUCUCCAACCCUCAAGGCUCAUCUCCGUGUUGCCGUAGAGAAGACGGUACGUGUAAUUCUAUGGUAACUCGGUGUGAGGGGAACAUGUGAACCAGGGUGUCAUAUAUGGUCACGGAGCCGAAAACCCUGGCUCCAGCUGUCCUGGUGAUAUGGCGGGCGUCUUCGCAGCUCCACCAAUGUUGCAGUUUCUCGUAAGCUCCGGUUGUCAAAGCCUCCAGAAGGGCCUGUGAGGUGGAGGGAGAGCCACUUGCUUAUCGCUACUUCGAUUUAAACAAAAUUCUAAAGUGAGAUUUUCAUUCUCCCUCGUCUCUAGCUGUUCCAGCAGCACAUGUCCACAGCAAGUUACUUCUUCCUCUCCUGUACCUUGUAAUGAGAGAGCCGUUCUUCCAGGGAACCAGAUGCUGCAAUUAGCAAAAAAAGAGGGGCCAGCCAUGUGCCUGAUGACUAAGGCAGCCCAGCUGUGUGUCUGUCUUCCUAAUAUGGGGAGAGCCAGAUGUGCUAUGUGUGGAAAGGGGAGUCUACACAUGCUCACAGACACAUGCACAGCUCGUCCCAGGACUACACAGCAGGAUGUCUUAAGAGCUGGAACGGGAUGGAGGUAUGGAAACCUCACUGUGGGAAGCUGAGGUCUCUUUGCCAGGUGUUUGGCACAGAGAGGGGAACCAGUCCUCCCUGUAUGUGAGGCUUACUGUUAAGAUCCCUUCACCGGGAUCUCCCAACCUGGCCCUCAGCAAGAGGCUGCCCCAGCCCUACCUGUGGGGUUUCAUUCCCCCACAGGGGUUUGCAUUUUUGUUUUUGUUGAAUUUAUUUAUUUGUAUGACUUUUCCUGUUUUUAUCCCCAGGUUAACUUUUAGUUCAUUGAGAAGUAAAACUUAAAAACCAGAAACCCCUUUCCCUCCCUGUGGGAAGAUUUCCAAAUUGUACUCUCUCUCGACCCAAGUCCUUGGUUUUUAUCUGAUCAGAAAGCCCAUGGUAGCCGCUAGGGGUGGUGUGUUUCCACUGGUAGCGUGUUUGCCUAGCGUUCAGGAAGUCCUGUGUCUGACCCUCAGCCCUGGCUGGACCCAGGGUGGUGAUGCAUGUCUAUGGUCCAGCACCCAGGAGGUGGAAGCAGGAGGAGCAGAAGUCCAGGGUCAUCCAUGAAACAGAGUGAGUUUGAGGCCCGCUUGGUCUACAUGUGACCCUAUCAAAAAGGAAGGGAGGGAAAGAGGGCAUCAUCAAUCCCAGCAUGCACCAGCACUCUGGAGGCAACAGCAAGUGGAUUUUGGUGAGUUCCAGGCCAGCCAAGGUAGCAGAGUGGAACUCUGUCUUAAACAAACAAUCCAAACCAGGAAUGGUGGCACACACUUUUAAUCCUUAUGUUAGAGAGGCAGAGAUGGGUGGAUUCCUGGGGCUUGCUGGCCAGCCCGUCUAACUUAUUUAGCAAGUUCCAAGUCAGUGAGAAAUCCAGUCUCUAAAACAGGCGAACAGACACCUGAGGUUGUCUUCCAGCCCCACGCAGACAUAUGUACACACAUGCUCAGGACACCAAUUGAAAUUUACCUUUCUGAGGACAUGCUGUCUCGAGAAAGGGGGAAAAACAAUACAAGCCAGCCAUGUUCAGCAACCCUGAGCUCACUUUCCCCAUAUCUGGGCCACAGUCAUGGCCAGGAAGGAGCCAGCGACUGCCUCAGGUUUGCACACCGCACCACUCUGCUCCUGUAACCGUACUGCUUAACCGCACUGCUUAACCAUACUGUUGUGUAAAGUCAGGCAUGAACAGAACCCAAAAGCGGUCCUCGUGGGCUUCUGAGAAGAGCUGACUUGGAAAGAGCCUUAUUACUAGGUCAGUGGCCACGGGACUCUGCAGAUGGCCGGCCCACUGCAAUCUACACAUCCCCGGCCAGAAACUGACAGCGUGAUAGAAUUAAGCCAUACGGUUCAGUAGCCAUGGUAAUAAGAACACACAGCUGCAACGGGUUUGCCAAGCUAAGGCCAAGGGCAGUUCCCACACAACUGCUGAUCUGCUUUAAAUUUAGACACCACAUUUAAGUUUGGAGGUCCUCAGGUCCACCCUCUCCUCUGACCAACUGGUUACACUCAAGAGUCGCCAUGGCCUCCUUCUGGUUUGACAGUUAACCACAAUGGCUCAGAAGACUUCUAAAAAUGUGCUGUAUUUACUAUUACAGAGACUGGAGAGAUGGCUCAGUGGGUCAGGGUGCUUUCUGUGCGAGCAUUAAGGCCCUGAGUUCAGAACCCAACACCCGCAUAGAAACAAGUGAUGGUGUGAACUCGCCUGUAACUCCAGCACUGUGAGAAGGGUGUGGAGACAGGAGCAUCGCUGGCUGUCAGGUUCCGUGUGAGACCCUGUUUCGAGAGCAUAAGGCAGAGUAAUAGGGUAAGGGACCUGAUGUCUUCCUCAGGCCUCCACCUGUGUGCACAGGCUCACAUGUGCAUGUACACCUACACCGU